rnacentral:rRNA from 1 species
AACGAACGCUGGCAGCAUGCCUAACACAUGCAAGUCGAACGAGACCUUCGGGUCUAGUGGCGCACGGGUGCGUAACGCGUGGGAACCUGCCCUUAGGUUCGGAAUAACUCCCCGAAAGGGGUGCUAAUACCGGAUAAUGUCUUCGGACCAAAGAUUUAUCGCCUUUGGAUGGGCCCGCGUUGGAUUAGCUAGUUGGUAGGGUAAAAGCCUACCAAGGCGACGAUCCAUAGCUGGUCUGAGAGGAUGAUCAGCCACACUGGGACUGAGACACGGCCCAGACUCCUACGGGAGGCAGCAGUGGGGAAUAUUGGACAAUGGGCGAAAGCCUGAUCCAGCAAUGCCGCGUGAGUGAUGAAGGCCGUAGGGUUGUAAAGCUCUUUUACCCGGGAUGAUAAUGACAGUACCGGGAGAAUAAGCUCCGGCUAACUCCGUG